rnacentral:rRNA from 1 species
CGGGAAUCUUCCGCAAUGGACGAAAGUCUGACGGAGCAACGCCGCGUGAGUGAUGAAGGUUUUCGGAUCGUAAAGCUCUGUUGCCAGGGAAGAACGUCCGUUAGAGUAACUGCUAACGGAGUGACGGUACCUGAGAAGAAAGCCCCGGCUAACUACGUGCCAGCAGCCGCGGUAAUACGUAGGGGGCGAGCGUUGUCCGGAAUUAUUGGGCGUAAAGCGCGCGCAGGCGGCUGUUUAAGUCUGGUGUUUAAUCCUGGGGCUCAACCCCGGGUCGCACUGGAAACUGGACAGCUUGAGUGCAGAAGAGGAGAGUGGAAUUCCACGUGUAGCGGUGAAAUGCGUAGAGAUGUGGAGGAACACCAGUGGCGAAGGCGGCUUUCUGGACGGUAACUGACGCUGAGGCGCGAAAGCGUGGGGAGCAAAC